UGCGUAGACCGCUGUUUAAGUCUUUUGUAAAAGUGCUAAGCUCAACUUAGUGAGGCAAAAGAUACUGAACAGCUAGAGUACAGAAGAGGCAAGUGGAACUUCAUGUGUAGCGGUAAAAUGCGUAAAUAUAUGGAAGAACACCAGUGGCGAAGGCGGCUUGCUGGUCUGAUACUGACGUUGAGGCACGAAAGCGUGGGGAGCAAACA
rnacentral:rRNA from 1 species